UACGUAGGGUGCGAGCGUUGCCCGGAUUUAUUGGGCGUAAAGGGCGCGUAGGCGGCCACGCACGUCCGUUGUGAAAUCGCCCGGCUCAACUGGGCGGGGUCAGCGGAUACGGUGUGGCUCGAGCAAGCUAGGGGGCAAUGGAAUUGCCGGUGUAGUGGUGAAAUGCGUAGAGAUCGGCAGGAACACCCAGGGGGAAACCAGUCGACUGGGCAUCUACUGACGCUGAGGUGCGAGAGCGUGGGGAGCGAACCGG
rnacentral:rRNA from 1 species